CAACAAGAUAGAGGCGCGGCAAUCAGGCUGUUCCGUCAUUCAAAAGCGUUGCAGAACGUGACGGAUAAUGGGCUUGCCGCCGAAGCGGAGCUUUUCUGUGGGAGCUUGCAGCUGGGUCUGUACGGGAUACGUGCAGAACUGUCACACUCGCUGUGGAGGGCUAUCGCUUUU
rnacentral:ncRNA from 2 species